GGGAGGAAGAGAAUGAGAUUUUGAAAUCCAAUCUUCUAAGGCUCAUAACUUGAGCUAGAAAACUCCAAAUCACUCCGUUCCAAAGCCAAACUUAUAAGAAAUUUCGAGAAGAAUUCAUUGGUACCAGUAUUUCUGAGUGGGUUUCAUUGUAGAGAGAGAUCCUCCUCCUCCAAGAUUUCGGAUUUCAUGGGUAAUGGGGAUUUUGAUGGAGCUUGAAGCCAUGGGAGCUUGAAGUAAGCCUUCCCCUUCGUUCUAGGUGUACCUAGGGAAUGUGAACGUUUGGAUUCUCGUGGAGCAUGAUAAGUAGCUUGUUCUUCGAGUAAGCAAAUUGUAAAGCUCCAAGAGGAACACAGUUAAUUGAAGAGCCUCAUGGGACAAGGACACUAACCGUGGCUAGAGGUACUAGUAUGAGGAUGUGGAGUUCUGGGUGGUCGGAUGCUACUAUUUGUUUUAGACGUAUUUUUGGAGAAGAUGUAUUGUUGC